CUCUCUCUCUCUCCUUCUCUCCCCACAGAUACACAGGAGAAGAAGUUCAAUAAACGCUCACCUCUCUCUCUCUCUCUCUCUCUCUAGAACUUGCAUCCACUUUGGCAUUUUCGCCUCAGCAAUGUAGCUCCACGACAAAAAUCUGCUGCGAAAUGGCCAAGUGUCACCGGAAUAGCAUCGGAUCUUUAAUCCUUGAUCACUCCCCCUCUACUAAUUCCUCCGGCGGCAGCCAUUUCCGACUCUGGACUGCCUUCUCUGCCUCUGCAUUCCGCCGUAAAAUCUUUGAUGCUGUCAGCUGUGGUGGAAGCUCCCGCUACCGCAACCAUGAGGAUGAAUUUUCCUCUUCCAUUACAGCCAGCUCCGACACGAGUAACAUCACUACUAGUGCCACGGUGAAGUCCGGUAACAUUAAUGUGAGUGAGAAAAAGCCAGGGAAAGCGAGAAAUGUAAAGUCGGGGAAGUUAUCGGAUCUGUUGAGUAUUGCCGAGGCUGAGUCUGAAAUCGAGAUGAAGAAGAAAGUCGAGGCGUUGGAGGAGCUGAAACUAGUAGUGAAGGAACUGCAGGUUGAGAGUGAAACAAAGAGAAAAGAAGCUGCUUGUCGAGUAAGGUUACUUUCUAAGGAAGACGCGAGUGCGAGAGCCAAUCUGGCUCUGCUCGGAGCCAUUCCUCCUUUAGUUGGAAUGCUUGAUGCGGAAGACGUUGAGUCUCAGAUCGCUUCUCUCUAUGCCUUGCUCAAUCUUGGGAUCGGCAAUGAUGCAAACAAAGCUGCAAUUGUUAAAGCAGGGGCUGUUCAUAAAAUGCUGAAGAUCAUAGAAUCUCCAAGUCCUCCUAACCCAUCUGUAUCUGAAGCAAUAGUGGCAAAUUUUCUUGGCUUGAGCGCUUUGGAUGCAAAUAAACCCAUUAUAGGUUCUUCAGGUGCAAUCCCAUUCUUGGUAAAUGCACUUGAGGAUUUGGACCAUAAAAGUAGCCUUCAAUCGAAACAAGAUGCUCUUAGAGCUCUGUACAAUCUUUCAAUAUUCUCAUCCAAUGUUUCAUUUAUGUUAGAAACAAACUUGAUCCCAUUUCUUAUGAAUAUGCUGGGGGACAUGGAAAUAAGUGAAAGAAUUCUUUCAAUUUUGAGCAAUGUAGCAUCGACUCCAGAAGGUAGAAAGGCCAUUAGCAGUAUGCCAGAUGCUUUUUCAAUUUUGAUAGAUGUUUUGAAUUGGAAUGACUCACCUGGAUGCCAAGAGAAAGCAUCUUACAUAUUGAUGGUGAUGGCGCACAAAGCCUAUGGGGAUAGACAGGCGAUGAUUGAGGCUGGAAUUGUAUCAUCAUUGCUUGAGUUAACGCUUUUGGGUAGCACAUUAGCUCAGAAAAGGGCUUCAAGGAUCCUGGAAUUCUUAAGAGUAGAUAAGGGGAAGCAAGUUUCGGAGAAUUAUGGUGGGAAUUUGUGUGCAGCAGUAUCUGCUCCUAUUUAUGGGUCUUCAUCAUCUUCCACAAACCCAAAUGGGGUUUCAAGGGAGUCUUUGGAGGAGGCGGAAGGUAUGAUGAGCGAGGAAAAGAAAGCAGUGAAACAAUUAGUCCAACAGAGCUUGCAGCACAAUAUGAGGAAAAUUGUCAAGAGGGCUAAUUUGCCGCAAGAUUUUGUGCCAUCAGAACAUUUUAAGGCCCUCACAUCAAGUUCAACCUCCAAGAGUUUACCGUUUUGAGGAGAUUCAAUGGUGCUAUAAAGGUGUGGCGAUUGAAGGGAGCAUCUCGAAGUUAGUCUUCUUAUCAUUGUUCUGAUUGCCACUUUGGUCCUUUAGUAGCAUUGUUAGCUUAUGAAAUAGCCAUCUUGUGUUUGAUCUUGUAUAAUUUCAGAAUCUUACGGUGAGGAGAGAGGAAGAAGAAUAUGAGAUGAGCUGUGUGCUGAUAAAAAUUAUACACCUUUUCUCUCCACGAGCUUUAUAAUUUUAAGUGACGAAUACGUGGUGGGGUCCUUUUGUAAUUUUUAAGCUUAUCAUUUCCCUGUUACCUCUUGUUCUUUUUCUACUUCACUGUUGCGUGUUCUAAUGUAAAUAUUUUGUUGUAAUAUAAUUCUCAUUUUUGCAA